rnacentral:rRNA from 1 species
AGUGAACGCUGGCGGUAGGCCUAACACAUGCAAGUCGAACGGCAGCACAGUAAGAGCUUGCUCUUACGGGUGGCGAGUGGCGCACGGGUGAGGAAUACAUCGGAAUCUACUUUUUCGUGGGGGAUAACGUAGGGAAACUUACGCUAAUACCGCAUACGACCUACGGGUGAAAGCAGGGGAUCUUCGGACCUUGCGCGAUUGAAUGAGCCGAUGUCGGAUUAGCUAGUUGGCGGGGUAAAGGCCCACCAAGGCGACGAUCCGUAGCUGGUCUGAGAGGAUGAUCAGCCACACUGGAACUGGGACACGGUCCAGACUCCUACGGGAGGCAGCAGUGGGGAAUAUUGGACAAUGGGCGCAAGCCUGAUCCAGCCAUACCGCGUGGGUGAAGAAGGCCUUCGGGUUGUAAAGCCCUUUUGUUGGGAAAGAAAAGCAGCAGGUUAAUACCCCGCUGUUCUGACGGUACCCAAAGAAUAAGCACCGGCUAACUUCGUG